rnacentral:lncRNA from 1 species
AGACUGUAGCAAGGUUAGAAGAUACACGCAAGAUUGCCUGCCACACACAUCGGGUCUUGUUCCUGUCCAGUAUUUGCAUGGAGAUAUCAAGUUAAUUAGGGAGCUCUUUCUGAGAUGAAGAGAAUUCUCAAUGUCAAGAUUUGAACAAGAAGAGAAUGGAAUACACAAUAUGGACAUCCAUAAAAAUUCAUCAGAGAGCAUUUUACUACUGAGCUGCAAAGGGAAAAACUUAAAAUGGAUAUGAAAAGUGAAGAAAGUGAUCAUAGGAGAAAACCAUUUCAGAUGACAAGAGCACCUCAAAGGCAGCAGCCUCAAGGAGCAGCCAUGGCCCCAGACUUGUCGCACGGAUGCAGAAAACUUAAUGGAGGAGGCUGAGGUCAGAAUGGGAAGAGUUUUUAAAAAAUAAAAAGGGGAGCUAAUAUGUGA